rnacentral:rRNA from 1 species
CCUACGGGGGACAGCAGUGAGGAAUAUUGGUCAAUGGACGAGAGUCUGAACCAGCCAAGUAGCGUGAAGGAUGACUGCCCUAUGGGUUGUAAACUUCUUUUAUAUGGGAAUAAAAUGUUCCACGUGUGGGAUUUUGUAUGUACCAUAUGAAUAAGGAUCGGCUAACUCCGUGCCAGCAGCCGCGGUAAUACGGAGGAUCCGAGCGUUAUCCGGAUUUAUUGGGUUUAAAGGGAGCGUAGGUGGAUUGUUAAGUCAGUUGUGAAAGUUUGCGGCUCAACCGUAAAAUUGCAGUUGAAACUGGCAGUCUUGAGUACAGUAGAGGUGGGCGGAAUGCGUGGUGUAGCGGUGAAAUGCUUAGACAUCACGAAGAACUCCGAUUGCGAAGGCAGUUCACUGGACUGCAACUGACACUGAGGCUCGAAAGUGUGGGUAUCAAACAGGAUUAGAUACCCGAGUAGUC